AAGGGACCCACAGGAAGACGGA
rnacentral:misc_RNA from 1 species